UACGUAGGGGGCUAGCGUUGUCCGGAAUCAUUGGGCGUAAAGCGCGUGUAGGCGGCCCGAUAAGUCCGCUGUGAAAGUCCAGGGCUCAACCCUGGGAUGCCGGUGGAUACUGUCGGGCUCGAGUCCGGAAGAGGCGAGUGGAAUUCCUGGUGUAGCGGUGAAAUGCGCAGAUAUCAGGAAGAACACCCGUGGCGAAGGCGGUUCUCUGGGACGGUACUGACGCUGAGACGCGAAAGCUUGGGUAGCAAACGGG
rnacentral:rRNA from 1 species